rnacentral:rRNA from 1 species
GACGAACGCUGGCGGCGUGCUUAACACAUGCAAGUCGAACGGAAAGGCCCUGCUUUUGUGGGGUGCUCGUGUGGCGAACGGGUGAGUAACACGUGAGUAACCUGCCCUUGACUUUGGGAUAACUUCAGGAAACUGGGGCUAAUACCGGAUAGGAGCUCCUGCUGCAUGGUGGGGGUUGGAAAGUUUCGGCGGUUGGGGAUGGACUCGCGGCUUAUCAGCCUGUUGGUGGGGUAGUGGCUUACCAAGGCUUUGACGGGUAGCCGGCCUGAGAGGGUGACCGGCCACAUUGGGACUGAGAUACGGCCCAGACUCCUACGGGAGGCAGCAGUGGGGAAUAUUGCACAAUGGGCGGAAGCCUGAUGCAGCAACGCCGCGUGCGGGAUGACGGCCUUCGGGUUGUAAACCGCUUUCGCCUGUGACGAAGCGUGAGUGACGGUAAUGGGUAAAGAAGCACCGGCUAACUACGUG